GCCUGGGUGGCUUAGUCGGUUAAGCGUCCGACUUCGGCUCAGGUCGUGAUCUCGCGGUCCGUGAGUUCAAGCCCCGCGUCAGGCU
rnacentral:tRNA from 1 species